CGGCCCUGCCCCGCCUGGGAAGGAAGGAGCGCGCCCUCGCCGGGGCCCGCGCGGGAUCCGCGCUGCCGCCGGUCCCCAGCAGGGUGGCGAGCUGCCCUUCCCUUUGGUCCCGGGGGUUUCCACCUGGACUUUCCUUGAUUGCAGAAACGGCGAGCUGACACACGGCAAAACCAGGUCUCCCGGACAAAGAUUGUAAGUGCGUGGCUGCCCGGGCUGGGAAGUCGAGGAAGAACGAACGUGGGGCUUCGAGAGGGAGGAAAUGAAAAUACUCCAGCGUUAGCUGUGACGACGAUUUCCAAAGUGUGGCACAGGGGAGCUGUCGAGUUGUGUGCUUUAAGUUAGUAAACAGGAAGAUGGGGGUGUGAGCAAAGAAUAUGAGCGGUUCUGGAAGGCUUCUUUCCCGAGCAUCCUUGGUUGCCCUGGCCUGGCUGCCUCCAGGUCCUGCAUCAACUGAAAACGCUGCCUUUCACAGUGAUUUGACUGGGGAGAGCCGGGAGCCACGCUGUGCCGGCGCAGAGAAUCAGGCGGACCAGCACGGUGCGGCUGCACUUGCCGUGCUCCCGUCACAGCGUGUAAGCACGCGGAGGAAGGCGGGCUCUCAGAACCGCUUCAGACAGUGGCAGGAGUGAUGGGGUAUGUGCGCUUGAUGGAGGGCGGGCGUUCUGAGGGGAACGGAAGUGCGUCUUUUACUGUGACGUAUUUUUAAAAAUUUAAGUAUUCAUUGUAUAUUUGGAUCAUACCUCCUAUGUGUAAUACCGCUCAAUAAAGCUGUUACCUAAAGUA